rnacentral:lncRNA from 1 species
AUGGACCCAGCCAGCCCGUCUGAACCCAGUACCUUCCGAACCCGGCCCCCCGAUUGGACCAAACCCGGCCCCCCGAUCGGACCUGGUACUGUCCCUCCAAACCCCGCCCACCCAAUACCCCGGUCGGACCUGCUACCGCCGGUCCAAACCCGGUACCGUCCGAACCCGGCCCGCCCAUCUGACGCGGGACCGUCGGUCCGAAGCCGGUACCACCUAAACCUGGCCCGCCCGUCUGAACCCGGUACCCGCCUCUGCAUCCGGCACGGUCCGCGCCCGGCGCGGCGGUCGGACCCUACCGCCCGCCGGGACCAGCCCCGCCCGGCGCGCGCGCAGCAGCAGCACCUCGCGGAGGCCGGCGGCGCGGGCGGGCGGGGCGGCGCGGGCGGGGCGCGCACGGCGGGCGGGGCGGCGCGGGCGGGCGCUCGGGCGCACUCACACCGGCCGGCGGCGGACGCGGGGCCGGCGGACGCGGCCGAGCAGCCCGCGGAGCCGAGCCGAGGCGGCCGGGCCGGGGCGCGCGGGGCGCAGGGCGCGCGGAGCCGGGAGCGCGGGCGCCGGCCGGUGGGACCGAGGCGGACAGGCGGCGAGCCGGGCCCGCCGACCCCGGCGCGCGGCCUCGGCCGAGCCGACCCCUCGGCCGGAGGAUGUCGGCGGGCGGCCGCGACGAGGAGCGGCGGAAGCUGGCCGACAUCAUCCAGCACUGGAACGCCAACCGACUGGACCUGUUCGAGAUCAGCCAGCCCACCGAGGUGCGGGCCGCGGGCGCGGGCGGGCGCGCUCACCUGCGCGGGGCGGGGGCGCCCGGACCGGGGGCGCGGGGCGGGGGCGGGGCGGGGGCGGCGGGGACGCGGUUGGCGGGGCCCCGCCCGAGGACCUUUGUCCCGGGGCGCGCGGGCGUGUGGCCGGCCGCGGGGCUCGGCGCCGGGCUCGGAGGCCCGGCGCGCACAGCGAAUGUCGGGGAAGUUGUUCCGACCGUGCGGCCCCGCUGAUAACGCGGCCCGGAAUUGA